CUAGGUCUCAGUUCAGAUUGCCAGGCUGCAACCCGCCUGCAUGAAGUCGGAAUUGCUAGUAAUCGCGGAUCAGCAUGCCGCGGUGAAUACGUUCCCGGGCCUUGUACACACCGCCCGUCACACCAUGGGAGCCGGUAAUACCCGAAGUCAGUAGUCCAACCUCGUGAGGACGCUGCCGAAGGUAGGAUUGGCGACUGGGGUGAAGUCGUAACAAGGUACC
rnacentral:rRNA from 1 species